GACAGAGGUGCCGAGCGUUAGGCGGAAUCACUGGGCUUAAAGCGUGUGUAGGCGGGUCGUUAAGUGCCUUGUGAAAUCCCACGGCUCAACCGGGGAACUGCUGGGCAUACUGCCGAUCUUGAGCCAGCUAGGGGCAACCGGAACAAACGGUGGAGCGGUGAAAUGCGUAGAUAUCGUUUGGAACGCCAAUGGUGAAAACAGGUUGCUGGGGCUGUGCUGACGCUGAGACACGAAAGCCAGGGGAGCGAACGGG
rnacentral:rRNA from 1 species